rnacentral:rRNA from 1 species
GGGUUGUGAGGUUAAGCGACUAAGCGUACACGGUGGAUGCCCUGGCAGUCAGAGGCGAUGAAGGACGUGCUAAUCUGCGAAAAGCGCCGGCGAGGUGAUAUGAACCUUUGACCCGGCGAUGUCCGAAUGGGGAAACCCAGUGCAAUCCGUUGCACUAUCGUUAACUGAAUACAUAGGUUAACGAGGCGAACCGGGGGAACUGAAACAUCUAAGUACCCCGAGGAAAAGAAAUCAACCGAGAUUCCCCCAGUAGCGGCGAGCGAACGGGGAGCAGCCCGGAGUCUGAAUCAGCUUGUGUGUUAGUGGAACGGUCUGGAAAGUCCGACGGUACAGGGUGAUAGUCCCGUACACGAAAGCACACAUGCUGUGAACUCGAAGAGUAGGGCGGGACACGUGGUAUCCUGUCUGAAUAUGGGGGGACCAUCCUCCAAGGCUAAAUACUCCUGACUGACCGAUAGUGAACCAGUACCGUGAGGGAAAGGCGAAAAGAACCCCGGCGAGGGGAGUGAAAAAGAACCUGAAACCGUGUACGUACAAGCAGUGGGAGCCUCUUUAUGGGGUGACUGCGUACCUUUUGUAUAAUGGGUCAGCGACUUAUAUUCUGUAGCAAGGUUAACCGUAUAGGGGAGCCGAAGGGAAACCGAGUCUUAACUGGGCGUUAAGUUGCAGGGUAUAGACCCGAAACCCGGUGAUCUAGCCAUGGGCAGGUUGAAGGUUGGGUAACACUAACUGGAGGACCGAACCGACUAAUGUUGAAAAAUUAGCGGAUGACCUGUGGCUGGGGGUGAAAGGCCAAUCAAACCGGGAGAUAGCUGGUUCUCCCCGAAAGCUAUUUAGGUAGCGCCUCGUGAACUCAUCUUCGGGGGUAGAGCACUGUUUCGGCUAGGGGGCCAUCCCGGCUUACCAACCCGAUGCAAACUACGAAUACCGAAGAAUGUUAUCACGGGAGACACACGGCGGGUGCUAACGUCCGUCGUGAAGAGGGAAACAACCCAGACCGCCAGCUAAGGUCCCAAAGUCAUGGUUAAGUGGGAAACGAUGUGGGAAGGCACAGACAGCCAGGAUGUUGGCUUAGAAGCAGCCAUCAUUUAAAGAAAGCGUAAUAGCUCACUGGUCGAGUCGGCCUGCGCGGAAGAUGUAACGGGGCUAAACCAUGCACCGAAGCUGCGGCAGCGACACUAUGUGUUGUUGGGUAGGGGAGCGUUCUGUAAGCCGUUGAAGGUGUGCUGUGAGGCAUGCUGGAGGUAUCAGAAGUGCGAAUGCUGACAUAAGUAACGAUAAAGCGGGUGAAAAGCCCGCUCGCCGGAAGACCAAGGGUUCCUGUCCAACGUUAAUCGGGGCAGGGUGAGUCGACCCCUAAGGCGAGGCCGAAAGGCGUAGUCGAUGGGAAACAGGUUAAUAUUCCUGUACUUGGUGUUACUGCGAAGGGGGGACGGAGAAGGCUAUGUCAGCCGGGCGACGGUUGUCCCGGUUUAAGCAUGUAGGCGGAGGUUCCAGGUAAAUCCGGUACCUUGUUAACGCUGAGGUGUGAUGACGAGGCACUACGGUGCUGAAGUGAUAAAUGCCCUGCUUCCAGGAAAAGCCUCUAAGCAUCAGGUAACACGAAAUCGUACCCCAAACCGACACAGGUGGUCAGGUAGAGAAUACCAAGGCGCUUGAGAGAACUCGGGUGAAGGAACUAGGCAAAAUGGUGCCGUAACUUCGGGAGAAGGCACGCUGAUGUGUAGGUGAAGUCCCUGCGGACGGAGCUGAAAUCAGUCGAAGAUACCAGCUGGCUGCAACUGUUUAUUAAAAACACAGCACUGUGCAAACACGAAAGUGGACGUAUACGGUGUGACGCCUGCCCGGUGCCGGAAGGUUAAUUGAUGGGGUUAGCGGCAACGCGAAGCUCUUGAUCGAAGCCCCGGUAAACGGCGGCCGUAACUAUAACGGUCCUAAGGUAGCGAAAUUCCUUGUCGGGUAAGUUCCGACCUGCACGAAUGGCGUAAUGAUGGCCAGGCUGUCUCCACCCGAGACUCAGUGAAAUUGAACUCGCUGUGAAGAUGCAGUGUACCCGCGGCAAGACGGAAAGACCCCGUGAACCUUUACUAUAGCUUGACACUGAACACUGGUCCUUGAUGUGUAGGAUAGGUGGGAGGCUUUGAAGCGUGGACGCCAGUCUGCGUGGAGCCAACCUUGAAAUACCACCCUUUAAUGGCUGGUGUUCUAACGUAGACCCGUAAUCCGGGUUGCGGACAGUGUCUGGUGGGUAGUUUGACUGGGGCGGUCUCCUCCCAAAGAGUAACGGAGGAGCACGAAGGUUGGCUAAUCCUGGUCGGACAUCAGGAGGUUAGUGCAAUGGCAUAAGCCAGCUUGACUGCGAGCGUGACGGCGCGAGCAGGUGCGAAAGCAGGUCAUAGUGAUCCGGUGGUUCUGAAUGGAAGGGCCAUCGCUCAACGGAUAAAAGGUACUCCGGGGAUAACAGGCUGAUACCGCCCAAGAGUUCAUAUCGACGGCGGUGUUUGGCACCUCGAUGUCGGCUCAUCACAUCCUGGGGCUGAAGUAGGUCCCAAGGGUAUGGCUGUUCGCCAUUUAAAGUGGUACGCGAGCUGGGUUUAGAACGUCGUGAGACAGUUCGGUCCCUAUCUGCCGUGGGCGCUGGAGAAUUGAGGGGGGCUGCUCCUAGUACGAGAGGACCGGAGUGGACGCAUCACUGGUGUUCGGGUUGUCAUGCCAAUGGCACUGCCCGGUAGCUAAAUGCGGAAGAGAUAAGUGCUGAAAGCAUCUAAGCACGAAACUUGCCCCGAGAUGAGUUCUCCCUGAGACCUUGAGUCUCCUGAAGGAACGUUGAAGACGACGACGUUGAUAGGUCGGGUGUGUAAGCGCAGCGAUGCGUUGAGCUAACCGAUACUAAUGAACCGUGAGGCUUAACCUUACAACGCCGAAGGUGUUU